rnacentral:rRNA from 1 species
UAGGGAAUAUUGGACAAUGAGUGAGAGCCUGAUCCAGCCAUGCCGCGUGCAGGAAGAAGGCGUUAUGCGUUGUAAACUGCUUUUGCCAGGGGAUAAAAAGACCGUGCGCGGUUAAUUGAAGGUACCUGGUGAAUAAGCCACGGCUAACUACGUGCCAGCAGCCGCGGUAAUACGUAGGUGGCAAGCGUUGUCCGGAUUUAUUGGGUUUAAAGGGUGCGUAGGUGGCCCUGUAAGUCAGUGGUGAAAUAUCUCAGCUUAACUGAGAGGGUGCCAUUGAUACUGCAGGGCUUGAGUACAGAUGAGGUAGGCGGAAUUGACGGUGUAGCGGUGAAAUGCAUAGAUAUCGUCAAGAACACCGAUAGCGAAGGCAGCUUACCAAGCUGUAACUGACACUGAGGCACGAAAGUGUGGGGAUCAAACAGGAUUAGAUACCCUAGUAGUCCCUGAGCGGGCUGGCAAGGCGCAU